UAUUAAAAAGAGUGUUUUGGAGAGAUGAGGAGAAGAAUCUAGAGAGAAAGACGUAAAAGAGGUGGAGAAAAGGAUGAUCAAUCACAUAAUUUUAGGCCCUAUUUAUAGAAAAAUUCAUUCAUGAUCCAGUAUUUUGCAGCCCAUCGUAAGGUUUAUGAAUACGCUUCAUAUAGCUAUUAGAUCAAGAUUUAAAGUCUGGUCAAACUUUAAAAGUCAACAAAACAUGUGGCAUCAUGUGAAGCGUCCGAUUUUGUCAAAGAACAAUUGAGAUUUGGCGGGUUAAUGAGUGGAUUGGGUCGACCCAUUUACAAAAGGUGCAAACCCAGGUCGACAAAUGGCCUACCAUUUUCCAAGGGGUAUGAUUGUGGCCAUUACGUUGUGAGUGGCGAUUUGGUCAUAGUUAGUUAUAGAUUUGGUGUGCGCGUCUACUGUAAACUCAUUUCAGUAUCCAAUCAGCAUUUGGUCAACUACAAAAGAGAAUAAUUUAUAUAAUAAGAUGCUACAUGAUUGACAGUAAAAAGUGUACAUA
rnacentral:lncRNA from 1 species